AGUCGAACGGAAACCUUCGGGUUUUAGUGGCGAACGGGUGAGUAACACGUAAGCAACCUGCCUUUAAGACGUGGAUAACAAUUGGAAACAGUUGCUAAGACAGGAUAGGAAAUUAAGAGGCAUCUUUUAAUUUUUAAAAGACCUUUUUCGAAAGGUAUACUUAAAGAGGGGCUUGCGCCACAUUAGUUAGUUGGUAAGGUAAAGGCUUACCAAGACGAUGAUGUGUAGCUGGACUGAGAGGUCGAACAGCCACAUUGGGACUGAGACACGGCCCAAACUCCUACGGGAGGCAGCAGUAAGGAAUUUUUGGCAAUGGAGGAAACUCUGACCGAGCGACGUCGCGUGAACAAUGAAGUACUUCGGUAUGUAAAGUUCUUUUAUUGAAAAAGAAAAAAUAGUGGAAAAACUAUCUUGACAUUAUUCAAUGAAUAAGCCCCGGCUAAUUAUGUGCCAGCAGCCGCGGUAAUACAUAAGGGGCGAGCGUUAUCCGGAAUUAUUGGGCGUAAAGGGUGCGUAGGCGGUUUGAUAAGUCUAUAGUUUAAAUGCAGUGCUUAACGCUGUAGCGCUAUAGAAACUGUCUGACUAGAGUUAGAUAGAGGCAAGCGGAAUUCCAUGUGUAGCGGUAAAAUGCGUAAAUAUAUGGAGGAACACCAGAGGCGUAGGCGGCUUGCUGGGUCUUAACUGACGCUGAGGCACGAAAGCGUGGGGAGCAAACAGGAUUAGAUACCCUGGUAGUCCACGCCGUAAACGAUGAGUACUAAGUGUCGGGUUUCGGCUCGGUACUGAAGUUAACACAUUAAGUACUCCGCCUGAGUAGUACGUACGCAAGUAUGAAACUUAAAGGAAUUGACGGGACCCCGCACAAGCGGUGGAUCAUGUUGUUUAAUUCGAAGAUACACGAAAAACCUUACCAGGUCUUGACAUAAUUUUGCGACAUUAUAGAAAUAUAAUGAAGGUUAUCAGAAUUACAGGUGGUGCAUGGUUGUCGUCAGCUCGUGUCGUGAGAUGUUAGGUUAAGUCCUAAAACGAGCGCAACCCUUGUCGUUAGUUGCGACCACGUAAUGGUGAGCACUUUAGCGAGACUGCCAAUGAAAAAUUGGAGGAAGGUGAGGAUUACGUCAAAUCAUCAUGCCCCUUAUGAUCUGGGCUACAAACGUGAUACAAUGGCUGUUACAAAGAGUAGCUACAACGUGAGUUUUUAGCCAAUCUCAAAAAAACAGUCUCAGUUCGGAUUGAAGUCUGCAACUCGACUUCAUGAAGUUGGAAUCGCUAGUAAUCGCGAAUCAGCAUGUCGCGGUGAAUACGUUCUCGGGGUUUGUACACACCGCCCGUCAAACCACGAAAGUUGAUAAUACCCGAAAGCGGUCGCCUAACUUCGUCAGAAGAGGGAGCCGUCUAAGGUAGGAUCGAUGAUUGGGGUUAAGUCGUAACAAGGUAUCCCUACCGGAAGGUGGGGAUGGAUCACCUCCUUUCU
rnacentral:rRNA from 1 species